GGGAUAUGAUGAGUGGUCAAUGCUUGCAAUAAAAUAUGCGAGAAGGGCGUUCCAGCUCAGCCUGGUUACGACAAUUUGGGCGCUCUCGCUUAAACCAAUCUGAUCCC
rfam:Solanum tuberosum cultivar DM 1-3 516 R44 scf00032_48, whole genome shotgun sequence.